GUUUCUAUAGUUGAAUAACAA
rnacentral:tRNA from 1 species